CGUUGUCACAACGAUGUCAUAAGGUUGCCAUUUAAACAUCACGAGGGCCGCAUACUUUAGGUUGUGCUUAGGUGGCGUGGACAACCACUGUACAACAUUUACUGGUCACAGCUGAAUCAGUUUAAAUUUCAACAAGCCGUCGUCUCAUUCAUCAACGACCGAGGAGACGCUAUUUUCACAUGGAGAAUGUUUUCAGCUGUUGAAUUCACCUCAGAUCAGUGUUGCUGUA